UACGUAGGGGGCAAGCGUUAUCCGGAUUUACUGGGUGUAAAGGGAGCGUAGACGGCAGCGCAAGUCUGGAGUGAAAUGCCGGGGCUCAACCCCGGAACUGCUUUGGAAACUGUGCAGCUAGAGUGCGGGAGAGGUAAGCGGAAUUCCUAGUGUAGCGGUGAAAUGCGUAGAUAUUAGGAGGAACACCAGUGGCGAAGGCGGCUUACUGGACCGUAACUGACACUGAGGCUCGAAAGCGUGGGGAGCAAACAGG
rnacentral:rRNA from 1 species